ensembl:lncRNA
GGGAGAGGAGGAAGUCUUUCCCGUACCCUGAAGAAACUGAAACUAAAGCAGAGUUCACAGAAGCACCUGGCAGAAACGGACGAGCGAGCGCGUGUUUGGUUUUGCAGAUCUGACUACCAGACAAUCUCCAGAAAUGGCAACCUCAGUUUCCACUGCUGCUCAUGGGGUUCGAGUGGUGACCCACAUCAUCCCGCUGGAGACCCCUGAGCCACCAUGUCCCACUCAGAGCAAAGACAGCAAACAGAGCGAGAAUAAACCGAGCAAGCCCUCCAUGACCAGUACAUUCCUGAGGGGAGUACCUGUAGCUCUGGGAACUGUGCAGAUCUUUGUUGGGCUGGUGAUGGCGGCUCUGGGAACAAUUACUUGGGUCUCAGGUGUGCUUCGAGGGGAGGUUCCUUUGGGCCUUGGAAUAUCGUUCUUCAUCUGUGGAUCUGUUUCUUUAGCUGCAAACAAGGGUACCUCUCCUGGACUUAUUAAAAGCGCAUUGGCCCUGAACAUCAUUGGUGCAAUGUUGGCUUCAGCAGGUGUUUGCUACUUCGCUUAUGUUCUUGCCAUCCCACCCAACCUGGAUGGAUGUGGGCAGAGUCAAUACUAUAACUGCACGAAUAUCGCAUGGACAUUAACUAGUCUGAUUCUUGGAGUGAAGAUUACUCUGCUGGUUCUGUGUGUGCUCGAGGUGUGUGUGUGCACUUCUCUUGCUGUCUUUUCAGCCAUGGCCAUCCAUCAGGCUUCAGUGACCAAAACGGUGGAUGGCGUGCAGACGGCUGUGGCAGUGUGCUACAGUGGGCAUGAGCCUCUGCUGAACGGAGAAGGAGAGGAUGUGAACACUUUUGGUCAGCCUCCAGCCUACCAACCAUAAAUGAUUACAUAAGGAGGAAACACUCACUUCACUUUUUCUCUUUUCCUUUUUUCUGAAGAUCACAUAUAAAAACACAUAAAAGUACAUUAAAAAGUACAUAAAAGCACUAACACUAUGUUAUCUCUGUUCACUGAUUAUAUAAUAUACAUGAUUAAACCGUCAACAAAAUAUUUAAAGGACUAAGCUAUCAUCACGGCCUUGUAUAAUCGUUAUAUAUCCAAAAUGCCAGUUUUACAAAGGGAAAAUAUCUUAAUUUUCAAUAUAACUGAAUGAAAAAAUAUUUUAUUUGAAUCAUUUUGGCAUUCAUGUGAUUCAUAAAAACUAACAAAAAAAAUCUACAAUUUUCUUUGCAUAAUAGUGACAAUACAUAGCAGUAAUUCCCAAAGUCAGUCUUUGUAACCUGAUGCAUGACUUGCUUGACAGCUAGUUAAUGUGUUAAAUCAGGUGUGCUAAAUAAGUGAAAAUACCAAAAAUGGACUGUAAUUGGAACCCCUGAUAUACAGUCUUUAGACGUUUUGCUUUGCUACUUAUAUCUCAUAUAACAGUAGCAGGUUGUAAUCUGGUUUUCUGUGGUGU